rnacentral:rRNA from 1 species
UGCGUGGUAUGGCAACAUAGUGCGUUUUUACUUCUUAGAGGGACAUGUCCGGUUUACGGGCAGGAAGUUCGAGGCAAUAACAGGUCUGUGAUGCCCUUAGAUGUUCUGGGCCGCACGCGCGCUACACUGACGACUUCAACAAGUUUUUUGGCAUUGCCAAAUUUCCUUGGCCGGAAGGUCUGGGUAAUCUUUUAAAAGGUCGUCGUGAUGGGGCUAGAUUCUUGCAAUUAUUAAUCUCCAACGAGGAACC